rnacentral:rRNA from 1 species
AGAGUUUGAUCCUGGCUCAGGAUGAACGCUGGCGGCGUGCUAAUACAUGCAAGUCGAACGAGGUGCUUUUGUAGCAAUACGAGAGUAUCCUAGUGGCGAACGGGUGAGUAACGCGUUGGUGACCUACCCCAAAGUGUGGGAUAACAGUCCGAAAGGAUUGCUAAUACCGCAUGUGGUCAUUGGAUUUAGAAACUGAUGACUAAAGGAGCAAUUCGCUUUGGGAGGGACCUGCGUCCCAUCAGCUAGUUGGUGAGGUAACGGCUCACCAAGGCGACGACGGGUAGGGGACCUGAGAGGGUGGCCCCCCACAACGGAACUGAAACACGGUCCAUACACCUACGGGUGGCAGCAGUAGGGAAUAUUGCUCAAUGGGCGAAAGCCUGAAGCAGCAACGCCGCGUGUGCGAUGAAGGCCUUCGGGUCGUAAAGCACUUUUCUGGGAGAUGAGAAAGGACAGUAUCUCAGGAAUAAGUCUCGGCUAACUACGUGCCAGCAGCCGCGGUAAAACGUAGGAGGCAAGCGUUAUCCGGAUUCACUGGGCGUAAAGCGCGUGCAGGUGGCGCGGUAAGUUAGGCGUGAAAUCUCCCGGCUCAACUGGGAGAGGUCGUCUAAUACUACCGUGCUUGAGAGCAGAAGAGGAAGAUGGAAUUCCCGGUGUAGUGGUGAAAUGCGUAGAUAUCGGGAGGAACACCAGUGGCGAAGGCGAUCUUCUGGUCUGUUUCUGACACUCAGACGCGACAGCUAGGGUAGUAAACGGGAUUAGAGACCCCGGUAAUCCUAGCCGUAAACGAUGUGAACUUGGCGUUGGUGGGUUAAACUCCAUCAGUGCCGUAGCAAACGCGAUAAGUUCACCGCCUGGGGACUACGGCCGCAAGGUUAAAACUCAAAUGAAUUGACGG